AGUAGUUUGAUCCUGGCUCGAGGAUGAACGCUAGCUACAGGCUUAACACAUGCAAGUCGGAGGGGCAUCAUGACGAAAGCUUGUCUUUGUUGAUGGCGACCGGCGCACGGGUGAGUAACGCGUAUCCAACCCUUCCCCUUAGUAGAGGAUAGCCCGGCGAAAGUCGGAUUAAUACUCUAUGUUCUUUCUGGAUGGCAUCUGAUGGAGAGCAAAGGUUCACCGCUAAGGGAUGGGGAUGCGUCUGAUUAGGUUGUUGGCGGGGUAACGGCCCACCGAGCCAUCGAUCAGUAGGGGUUCUGAGAGGAAGGUCCCCCACACUGGUACUGAGACACGGACCAGACUCC
rnacentral:rRNA from 1 species